AAAACAGCACAUUUCUUCAAAUUGUGGACUUUAGUAUCUGAUAAUAUUGGGACUAUUCGUACCUUCGGAAAUAAAAAUAAUCAAAGUCCAUAAUGUAGUAGAAGUAGUCUAUCCAAAUAGUAUUACAGUUCAAUUUGUUUUUAGGCCAAAAAUCUAUUUAUCUCGAAUGACUAUACAAUGAACUAAGCAAUUGAACAUUUUCACUCCAAUCCUAGGGCAUGUAACUUAAAGAAAAA